rnacentral:tRNA from 1 species
GAGGUUUUAGCUUAAUUAAAGUGUCUGAGUUGCAGUCAGGUGAUGCUAAGUUAGAGUUUUGCAGGCCUUC